rnacentral:lncRNA from 1 species
AAGAUUUAUACAGGGUGCUAUAUUAUUAAUCUGUGCUAUAAUUUAAAAAAUGGAAUGGGGAAAAAAAGGAACAAAGGAAAAGAUCAGAAAAGACAUUGCAGCCACGUGAGCUGUGCAGGGACUGGUGUCAUUCUAGAAUAUGACACCUGUGUGUCAGGUGUCUGUCUACACGUAUCUGUAGGUGUUAUUCUAGAAUAUGACACCUGUGUCAGGUGUGUGAGUUUACACGUGAGUAUCUGCAGGUGUUAUUCUAGAAUAUGACACCUGUGUCAGGUGUGUGUCUACAGGUGAGUAUCUAUAGGUGUUAUUCUACAAUAUGACACCUGUGUCGGGUGUGUGUCUACAGGUGAAUAUCUGUGAGUGUAAAGAAAAAUGACAGAAACACAUGCCUGUUGAGGUCACUGCAUAAAAUAUAUUCCAUGUGAGUCAAAAAAGUCUGAAAAGCACAGGAAUAAAUGACACUAAAGGCUGGUUGUGUAACUGCAGAUAAAUGCAUGCUGAAGAACAUCAACUCAAACAAAAACCUGUAGUUAUGGAGCGACCUAAUGUCCUCCAUCAGUAUUACGAAGCAUCUACCAGUAGUCAUGGCAAUGAACACACAGAAAAUUGUUUCUGAACCAAAUAUUUUACUCAUGAGAUGUGAGAAUUCAAUAUCUGGUCCACAUCAUUCAAGGAAAGACAAACAAACACACGAAACUUUAAAAACUAUUUCUGUAAAAUAUUUUUCAGCAUAAUCGCAUCAGAAGCAAAGCUUCUGAAUCAUUGCUACUACUGUGAAACAAAUCUCCAACGUUCUGCUCCCACAGCAGGUUAUUCUGCAUGGGGGUGGGAGGGUAGGAGCGUGUAUGUCCACCCCCUCCCAAGCAUGAGGAGUGUGGCUGUUGGGAAGCAGAAGAAGGAGGAAAGCGGCCUCUCCAUCCACCUCCUAAUGAGCCCGGAAAGAACGGGCGUGGAUCCAACAUCCUCUGCGUCCAGCGGCCGGCACUGGCAGGAACUUAAAUGUUUGCUGAACUGAAACAAGGUCAAUAUUUCAAAGAAAUGCUGCCCACAACACACACCUGGGCACAUGAUCACCCUUCUGACCCCAAACCUCCCUCUAAAAACCUGCCCCUUACUAAAAAGUUCCCAGCUGAGACCAGCUGAUCUCAAGUAACAGGAAAUCCAGGUGUAAAUGCUCAGAACGAUAUUCUUCUAUUCAGACAUGAAGAGUGAGAUAAGACAGAUCUGGAUUCAAACGCCAG